AUCCGGAAGUUGCUCUUCGUAAGGUUGUUGUUCUGUCCUCCGACAAAAUUGAAAGUGUCAAAUCAGCCGGAGACCUAAACUAAACGCGUAUCAGAAACGUCUACAUCUGCUAAACAUCUUCAGGUGUUGCACAUUGAGCCUGCUCUGGCUCACUCAUGGUUGAGCUGGAGACCGUGGAUCGAGCCUGACAUAAGAUGGCCAGUGUAGAUGAACCUCCAGAGAAGCACUGCUGGGUGUGUUUUGCCACGGAGAAGGAGGAUCGAGCUGCAGAAUGGGUCAGCCCGUGCCGGUGUAAGGGCUGCACCAAGUGGAUCCAUCAGUCUUGCUUACAGCGCUGGCUGGACGAAAAACAGAAGGGAAACAGCGGAGGAGCCGUCAGCUGCCCGCAAUGUAGCACAGAAUACCAGAUCGUUUUCCCCAAA